rnacentral:sRNA from 1 species
UUUAACCAGUAACUCAGACUCUAGCGACCGCUCUCUGAACAUGUGUAGCCCCAGCGCCCAGCUACUGCUCAGCUCAUGCCCUGGUCAAUGCAACCUGUCUCCAUUCCUUUCAGUUUGAAUGAAUUCACAACCUAUGGCAGCGAAGAAAGCACCAAACCGGCCUCCGUCCGGGCCCUGCUGUUUGACAUCUCCUUCCUCAUGCUGUGCCAUGUGGCCCAGACCUAUGGUUCAGAGGUGAUUCUGUCCGAGUCGCGCACAGGAGCUGAGGUGCCCUUCUUCGAGACCUGGAUGCAGACCUGCAUGCCUGAGGAGGGCAAGAUCCUGAACCCUGACCACCCCUGCUUCCGCCCCGACUCCACCAAAGUGGAGUCCCUGGUGGCCCUGCUCAACAACUCAUCGGAGAUGAAGCUGGUGCAGAUGAAGUGGCAUGAGGCCUGCCUCAGCAUCUCAGCCGCCAUCUUGGAAAUCCUCAAUGCCUGGGAGAAUGGGGUCCUGGCCUUCGAGUCCAUCCAGAAAAUCACUGAUAACAUCAAAGGGAAGGU